GCCAGACUCCUACGGGAGGCAGCAGUGGGGGAUAUUGCACAAUGGGGGGAACCCUGAUGCAGCGACGCCGCGUGGGUGAAGGAGCGUUUCGGCGCGUAAAGCCCUAUCGGCAGGGAAGAAGGAGGACGGUACCUGACUAAGAAGCCCCGGCUAACUACGUGCCAGCAGCCGCGGUAAUACGUAGGGGGCAAGCGUUAUCCGGAUUUACGGGGUGUAAAGGGGGCGCAGACGGCAGCGCAAGCCAGGAGUGAAAGCCCGGGGCCCAACGCCGGGACUGCUCUUGGAACUGCGCGGCUGGAGUGCAGGAGGGGCAGGCGGAAUUCCUGGUGUAGCGGUGAAAUGCGUAGAUAUCAGGAGGAACACCGGUGGCGAAGGCGGCCUGCUGGACUGCGACUGACGUUGAGGCCCGAAAGCGUGGGGAGCAAACAGGAUUAGAUACCCUAGUA
rnacentral:rRNA from 1 species